GUGGGGAAUAUUGGACAAUGGGGGGAACCCUGAUCCAGCCAUGCCGCGUGUGUGAAGAAGGCCUUUUGGUUGUAAAGCACUUUAAGCGAGGAGGAGGCUACCGAGAUUAAUACUCUUGGAUAGUGGACGUUACUCGCAGAAUAAGCACCGGCUAACUCUGUGCCAGCAGCCGCGGUAAUACAGAGGGUGCAAGCGUUAAUCGGAUUUACUGGGCGUAAAGCGCGCGUAGGUGGCAAAUUAAGUCAAAUGUGAAAUCCCCGAGCUUAACUUGGGAAUUGCAUUCGAUACUGGUUGGCUAGAGUAUGGGAGAGGAUGGUAGAAUUCCAGGUGUAGCGGUGAAAUGCGUAGAGAUCUGGAGGAAUACCGAUGGCGAAGGCAGCCAUCUGGCCUAAUACUGACACUGAGGUGCGAAAGCGUGGGGAGCAAACAGGAUUAGAUACCCUUGUAGUC
rnacentral:rRNA from 1 species